UCAGACGAUGCGUCAUGCAUAUCAAUAAGCGGAGGAAAAGAAACUAACAAGGAUUCCCUCAGUAACGGCGAGUGAAGCGGGAAGAGCUCAAAUUUGAAAUCUUGAAAGGUCACCUUUCACGAAUUGUAGUUUAAAGAAGUGUUUUCUGUUACGAUCGUAAUAUAAGUUCUUUGGAAUAGGACAUCACAGAGGGUGAGAAUCCCGUCUAUGAUUGCGAUUUGUAGCUUUGUGAUACACUUUCAAAGAGUCGGGAUUGUUUGGGAAUGCAGUCCAAAAUGGGUGGUAAAUUUCAUCUAGAGCUAAAUAUUGGCGAGAGACCGAUAGCGAACAAGUACCGUGAGGGAAAGAUGAAAAGAACUUUGAAAAGAGAGUUAAACAGUACGUGAAAUUGUCAAAAGGGAAGCGUUUGACACCAGUGUUGUUUUCUCGAAAAUCAAUUAAAAAUGGCUCGAUUUUGUAUUGCUGAGACCUUAAAAGCUCACUGUACAUUUUUCGUGUCUUUUUUAAUGCACUUUUCGUUUAACAAGUCAACAUCAGUUUCUUUUGUUGUAAAAGGGUCAUUGGAAGGUGGCUUUCUUUUCGGAGAAAGUGUUUAUAGCCUUUGGCCUCUGCAAUCGGAGAGACUGAGGUCUGCAGCGUAGACUCUUCGGGGUUAGAUACAUUUGUGCUAAGUUAUAGCUUUUUAUAGACAACUUGUUGACUAUAAUUAGUCUUGUGGCUUACUCGCUUAUGCUAUUUUACCUACGCUUAGGAUGUUGACUGAUAUGUAGUCGUA
rnacentral:rRNA from 1 species